UGAGGAUACAGAACAAGUCUGCAACCUAGAAAAAGACCCUCAUCGAACUAAGCUGGCACCAUGAUUUUGGACUUCUAGCCUCCAGAACUCAGAGAGUAUGCUACUGCCAGAAACAUAAGCCAAGAUAAUGCUUCCAGAUCCUGGUUUAAUCUUCAGUUACCUCAUUCACCCACCCUUCACAAACCUUCACCUUGGCAAAUUUGGCUUUUGGCUACCAAGUGUCCCUCAGUGGGAUGAAGGGAAUUCUCUAUGCUGGAAGAAGAGUCUUGUCAGUGCCCAGUGUGGCCUAGCUCCAGCUUCAUAAAAGAUCAUAGGCACAUUGAGCCCCAUCAUCCCUUCAUUAUAUGAAAACACAAAGUGCUUUGCGUUAAACUUUUUUUCUUUUUGCUACAACUCUGAACCAGUAAUAAACCCAUUUUGAGAUAUUUAGCCAACUUUAAAAAGUUAUUUUUCAUUUCUUCUUACCCCAUAUUUCUGCUUAGGAAAAGUAAAAGCUAGAAAGAGAUUUGAGAAUUUCUUCCAACAGCUAUGUCUGACCCAGUAAAAAGCAGGAAUGAAAUAUACAGAAUGAUACAAAUGUUUCUCUCCUCCAACUUAAUAUCAUCUCUGUUAUUACUAUAAGGUGAUGUUGGUGAAGGCAGUAAAAUAUCUUGGUUAAGAAUAUGAGUUCUGGAACCAGACAGAUUUGCAACUCUUUAGUUCAAAUCAGUGACCGGUUGUGUGCCUUUGGGUUACUGCCUUUCUUCUCCUCUCCUCCCUGUCUCAGCCUCUUUACAUAUCAGUGUGAAAGACAAAAGUAUGAACUUCAAGGAACUAUUGAGGAAACCAAGUGUGAUAGUGUCCAUAGAGCACUAAACUCUGUGUCUAGCAUGUAAUGGUAGUAAGCACUCAAUAAACAUUAGCAAAUUUUAA